rnacentral:rRNA from 1 species
AGACCCGAAACCCGGUGAUCUAGCCAUGGGCAGGUUGAAGGUUGGGUAACACUAACUGGAGGACCGAACCGACUAAUGUUGAAAAAUUAGCGGAUGACUUGUGGCUGGGGGUGAAAGGCCAAUCAAACCGGGAGAUAGCUGGUUCUCCCCGAAAGCUAUUUAGGUAGCGCCUCGUGAAUUCAUCUCCGGGGGUAGAGCACUGUUUCGGCAAGGGGGUCAUCCCGACUUACCAACCCGAUGCAAACUGCGAAUACCGGAGAAUGUUAUCACGGGAGACACACGGCGGGUGCUAACGUCCGUCGUGAAGAGGGAAACAACCCAGACCGCCAGCUAAGGUCCCAAAGUCAUGGUUAAGUGGGAAACGAUGUGGGAAGGCCCAGACAGCCAGGAUGUUGGCUUAGAAGCAGCCAUCAUUUAAAGAAAGCGUAAUAGCUCACUGGUCGAGUCGGCCUGCGCGGAAGAUGUAACGGGGCUAAACCAUGCACCGAAGCUGCGGCAGCGACACU